AACAAAUUAGUACAUUCAAUACAGUUGACUUAGGAUCAACAAAAGGGGUAAACUCCUCAUUUGUUA
rnacentral:tRNA from 1 species